GACGAAGGGGGCUAGCGUUGUUCGGAAUUACUGGGCGUAAAGCGCGUGUAGGCGGUUAUCCAAGUCGGGUGUGAAAGCCUUGAGCUCAACUCAAGAAAUGCACUCGGUACUGGGUGACUAGAGGACCGGAGAGGAUAGUGGAAUUCCCAGUGUAGUGGUGAAAUACGUAGAGAUUGGGAAGAACACCAGUGGCGAAGGCGGCUAUCUGGACGGUUUCUGACGCUAAGACGCGAAAGCGUGGGGAGCAAACGGG
rnacentral:rRNA from 1 species